rnacentral:rRNA from 1 species
UUCCUGUACCGAUAUUUAAUUGCCGAAGGAAGGACGCAGAAGGAUAACACAGGCCACUAUUGGAUGUGGUUUUAAACAGUUAGUCUUCAUAAGAGUCAAAUGCUUUUAUGUUUAAGGAUAAGCUGUGAAUGUACCAAGUUUACUUGGAAAUUGUGUGAUUUCACGCUGCUGAAAAAAGUUUCGUAGGAAGAAAAUAUUGCCCGUACCGCAAACCGACACAGGUACUCGAGUGGAGAACACUAAGGUGAGCGAGUGAACUAUUGUUAAGGAACUCUGCAAAAUGAGUCCGUAACUUCGGAAGAAGGACUGCUGGUUUUAUACCAGCCGCAGCAAAUAGGCCCAAACAACUGUUUAUCAAAAACACAGGUUUCUGCAAAAUCGUAAGAUGAAGUAUAGGGGCUGACGCCUGCCCAGUGCUGGAAGGUUAAAAGGAGGACUUAGCUUCGGCGAAGGUCUUAAUUGAAGCCCCAGUGAACGGCGGCCGUAACUAUAACGGUCCUAAGGUAGCGAAAUUCCUUGUCGGGUAAGUUCCGACCCGCAUGAAAGGCGUAAUGAUUUGGGCGCUGUCUCAACAAUAGACUCGGUGAAAUUUAAAUUCCAGUGAAGAUGCUGGGUACCCGCGACAGGACGGAAAGACCCCGUGGAGCUUUACUGUAGCUUGAUAUUGAAUGUUUGUGCUGCAUGUGCAGGAUAGGUAGGAGACUUUGAAGUCGGAACGCUAGUUUCGAUUGAGUCACCCUUGAGAUACUACCCCUGUUGUAUGAACGUUCUAACUCUGAUCAGUUAUCCUGAUCGAAGACAGUGUCUGGCAGGCAGUUUGACUGGGGCGGUCGCCUCCUAAAAGAUAACGGAGGCGCUCAAAGGUUUGCUCAGAAUGGUUGGAAAUCAUUCGUAGCGUGUAAAGGCAUAAGCAAGCUUGACUGUGAGACUGACAAGUCGAGCAGGUACGAAAGUAGGACUUAGUGAUCCGGUGGUUCCGUAUGGAAGGGCCAUCGCUCAACGGACAAAAGCUACCCCGGGGAUAACAGGCUCAUCUCCCCCAAGAGUCCACAUCGACGGGGAGGUUUGGCACCUCGAUGUCGGCUCAUCGCAUCCUGGGGCUGUAGUCGGUCCCAAGGGUUGGGCUGUUCGCCCAUUAAAGCGGUACGCGAGCUGGGUUCAGAACGUCGUGAGACAGUUCGGUCCCUAUCCGUCGUGGGCGCAGGAAAUUUGAGAGGAUCUGUCCUUAGUACGAGAGGACCGGGAUGGACAUACCUCUGGUGUACCAGUUGUUCUGCCAAGAGCACCGCUGGGUAGCUACGUAUGGAUUAGAUAAUCGCUGAAAGCAUCUAAGUGAGAAACUAACCUCGAGAUGAGAUUUCCCAUUCGUCAGAAGUAAGACCCCUGAGAGACGAUCAGGUAGAUAGGCUAGAAGUGGAAGUGUAGUGAUGCAUGGAGCGGACUAGUACUAAUAGGUCGAGGACUUAACCAAG